AGGCGCUGGAGUUGGGGCAAAAGGGAGAGGGAGGGAGCCCGAAACUCGCGGCGGCGGCCAAUCGGCUCUCACUGCCGUCCAAUCGCAAGACCUAGCUGCAGUGUGAUUGGCCUUCGGCCCCGGUCCCAGGAGCGGGGAGAUGCCUGACUCGGGUCGUGGCUGACGACCCGACGGUUCGCCUGCGGCCGCCUCCAACAACGGUGGAAACCGCACACAGGGACCGCGGGCCCUCGGUGCAGCAAAUCGGAAAGUGCUGCGGUCGGCGGCCCUGGGCUCUGAGCGCUCAAGCGAGCAGAGGGGUGGAGGGGCUCUCCCCACCCACAGGAGGCUCUCGGCGGGGCGCAGCCAAUUCUGCGCGCCCAAGGCUCCCCUCUGCCGUGGAUCGCGUGUGCCGAGUGUUGGCCUCUUCCCCGAAAGGGCCAGACGGACCAAGGGGGCCUUCCCAGCCGGCUGCAAGCUCUCAGACGCUAAAAUGGGAACAAAGCUUCCAGAAAGGCAGCGCCUUUGGGCGGCCGCGCCCCGCCCAGCCGCGGGGGCCAUUGAUACAGAGGCUUGCUGCGCUUGGUGUGCGCGGCCCGGCCGGGCCUCUGGAAACGCCCAUGAGAAAUGAGCUCAUGCUGGAUGCGCGCGCUCCUUGGGCGCAACUGCCCAGCGCAAAACGGGCCCCGAAAGCAGGUGAGUGGAGGACACUUCAAUCUAAAGUGAUCUUAAAGGAGGAGUAGUAGGAUUUGAAGAUGAAGAAAGAAGAGGGGAGGUAAAUUACUUUCCAUCACUUCAAUUUCAACCCAUCAGAUAAAACCUCUCUUUAGUAAACCUGCAUGUGGGUGGAGCUGUAACAGCAAUUAAGGACAGUGUGACUCUGUUCUUCUGACUUUGGGAAAACCAGUUUGGCUGGAACAAAAAGCUGAUAGAGAAGACUAAUGGAAGAUAAGGUUGAAAAGGAAACGGGUCAUGAUCCAGACCCCAGGAGAGGGUUCUUGGAUCUCACACAAGAAAGAAUUCAGGGUGACCCCACAGUGCAAAAGUCAAAGCAAGUAUUAAGAAAAUGAAGGAAUAACAGAAUGGCUACUACAUAGAGCAGCCCUGAGGGCUGCUGGUUGCCCUUUUUUUUUUUUCCUUUGAGAUGGAGUUUUCGUUCUUGUUGCCCAGGCUGGAGUGCAAUGGCGUGAUCUCGGCUCACCACAACCUCCACCUCCCAGGUUCAAGCAAUUCUGCCUCAGCCUCCCGAGUAGCUGAGAUUACAGGCAUGCGCCACCACGCCCGGCUAAUUUUGUGUUUUUAGUAGAGUGAGGGUUUCUCCAUGUUGGUCAGGUUGGUCUUGAACUUCCGACCUCAGUUGAUCUGCCCGCCUUGGCCUCCCAAAGUACUGGGAUUACAGGCAUAAGCCACCGCACCUGGCCUGGUUGCCCAUUCUUUAUGGUCGUUUCUUGAUGAUAUGCUAACCAAGGAGUGGAUUAAUCAUGCCUCCCCUUUUUGGACCACAUAGGGUCUAAACUGUCAUGGCACAUUUGUAAACUGUCAUGGCACUGGUGGGAGUGUAGCAGUGAGGACGACCAGAGGUCACUCUCGUCGCCAUUUUGGUUUUGGUGGGUUUUGGCCAGCUCCUUUACUGCAACCUGUUUUAUCAGCAAGGUCUUUAAGACCUGUAUUUUGUGCUGACCUCCUAUCUCAUCCUGUGACUUAGAAUGCCUUAACUGACCAUCUGGGAAUGCAGCCCAAUAGAUUUCACCCUCAUUUUGCCCGGCUCCUGUUUAAGAUGGAGUUGCUCUGGUUCACAUGCCUCUAACAAAUCCUUUUAGUUUUUCAUGCUUGUCACAUGUUUACUUCUAAGGGUAUAAUCAUGUGGUUUACUAUAUUAUUACCGAUUAGAUUAUUUUGAACUACUUCAAUUUUAUUUAUUUUACCUCAUUUCCAUUCACAUUUUUUGAAAAGAGCUUUUUUAUACAAGAGUGUAAAUAUUUUCACAUUGAAUAAAUGAAUUGAAAACAGUA
rnacentral:lncRNA from 1 species